UGGCACACGAUACACUGAUUUCAUUAUUUAUUUAACGAUUUGCAUUGAAAAUAUCGUUAAAAAAAGAUUAGAGGGGCGACCAAGUGUAUCAGGCGCACACUUGUUAUGAUGCUCGUAUAUUCUCCUAAACUAACCGUUUUAAUCAUGCGCUCAGUGAAAUUAGAAGGCAAUACCUCGCACCAUUUGGAUUUCCCAACUUAAACAAGUUUUGUUGUAGUUAACAAGUGUAAAGAGGAUGACGAGGACGGGUUUUAUUGUUCUCUAAAGUAAAAAAUGUUAAUAAUUUUCUCGUCUUCACCUGCACGCAGCUUAAGCUCUCUCUCACACACACACACACACACACACACACACACACACACACACACACACCCACAACAAGAAAGCUGUUCUGAGUGAAACAUCUGCCAGACGCCUGAGGCAGUUCAACCGUUAUGUAAUGUGAUGUAAAAACAGACUUCCGACAAGUGGAAGCCCCCAAACUUUACAACACACAUCCCAACUUUGCUAUUUUGACAUUAAAUUCUGAAAAUAUUUCACAUUAUCAAAUGUACGAGGCAUACAAGGCAUAAGAUAUAUGUUCUGAGCAUCAGGAAAAUAAUUUCUAAUGCCUCUAAAUUGGCCGGCGUGUGGCCUGACAGAGCACAAUGUGGAGGACCAGGACAAAGCACGACUACAAACAGGUCAAUGAGGCGCACUCUGCGCCGCGUUCUUUCAAUAAUUCAGCAGGGAAGCUGUGUUUUGUGUUACGUUGUUCACUUCCUCCGUGAUUAUCGUCGAACUAUCCACACUAAAAGGCAUGAAAGCUGUGUGAUCUUGAUAUUUAAGAGACCAAUCAUUUUGCCGAUUAAUGCAGAAAAUAAUUGCCAGAUCAAUUGAUGCAGCAAAUAACUGUUGGUUGCAGAUGCCCAGGCAGACAAGGAAGUGAUUACUUACCCUGGAUAUUGUGGAUAUGUGGGUUCAGCAGAGACGUUUAGUGCUACUCGGGUGCACAACGCUCAACAGCCUUUUUUCAGUGCAAUGAAGCGGCAUCCAUUUGAGUGAGUCAAAGAAAGACGUGCCGCGUGUUUCACCGUGCAUCCUUCAGGGCGUGACCCUUCCACAGCCGGAUCUUAUCUGUUAUUAAUAUGGACGAGACAUUUAAACGCAUUUUCUUGCCUUUUUCUCUCCAGCGAGCGCAAAAACCCUUUGAUAUGGUUCCAUGGAAAGGGAAAGAAGAUAAUUGGGGAAGCCUUGCUAAUCCUGACUAUGGGGCUUUUCCUUUGUUAAUAUUCCCUCUGUGUGGGUCGUGGCGGACGACACGGAAAUGAAUCGCUGACCAAAAUAAAAAAAAUAACUAAAUGCAUGCAAUGUGUACGUGUUGUUGGCGCGGUAGUUGAGACAUGCGUGGCUUUAACCCUCACGUCCCACUGGCACUUUUUAACACAGCCUCCCCACUGACAUUCAGUGAUAUUUCCAUCUUCUUAAUUAUGUGACAACGAGCAGGUUUGCGACAUUAAAGCCAGCUGCGUCUUUUGCGCUGAAGCAUUUCGUCAUCGUUGGCUCUUAAUCCUCGUUGUCCAGCAGUCAGAAGGACGGUGCAAGUUCAUUUCACAGGACGCGAUAAUCAACGUGGCUGCUUCGUACCGCUCUGCCGGAGGGUUGCGCUGCACCUUCUGUCUGUGUUUUGUUUGUUUGUGCGGGUGAUGGGUGGGGGACUGAUUAGGCAGCGGUGAAGAAGGAAAACUGGUGGAAAGCAGCUCCCUCUCUCCUCUUUUCUCGCCGCGGGGUCGGCGGUUCUGCCGAGCGGAUCGGCCUGAUAGUAGCUCACAGCCUGGAGGCCGUCUGGGUGGUUGUAGGGGUGAGAAGCUCGUUUCGUUUCUCCUGUUUGGUGCCUGGGAGAUGAAUGAGCUGCCUGGUAAGUAAGUGCCUACCACAAUUUACAAAAAUAUAAAUACUGUAUGCUGUCUGGCAGCAGCACUGGGUCAUUAUUGGGAGUUAAGACUUGUCUGACAGUUAAAUAGCUCCUUGUUGGUUUGAAACGCAACUCGUCUCUUAAGAUGCAAAUCAUGGGCCAAGCAUUGCCCACACAUCUGCUGACUACACUAUGAUAGCAGAUGCAUAGCCUCUUGCAAUGAGAUGUACUUCUUUUGCAAAAAGAAAAUAAUUAUGUAGAGAAAACUUGAAUUCCAGCCAUUUAAAACUCCAUCACAUUUUACUCCUCAUUCUUCUACCUACAACUUUCUUGCCAUCCAUGCUUCUGUCAAUCACACACUUUCAUGUUCCCCUCGGUGACAGCUGAUGCGUGAUGACGCACAUUGUCAGCAGGUUGUCAGGCGUCUACUUCACUAAAGAAGAUGGAAAUGGGAGCCGGGUGCCUGCGGUCUUCAGGGGUCUCUCCAAACCUUUUCCCAGGAAACCAGGAGCUCCUUUGGUGGACGUGUCGAACGUUUUCAUGAAGCCAACUGAGGGAACGGCGCCGACAGGCGGGAGACGACGCACGCUUGUUCACAGAUUCAAGGGCCCGUGGUAGCCUUGGUCAUUCGUCAAUGUAAGAAUGUCUUCUUGGCUCAAGCCCACCUUCGUGGUCAUGUGGAAAUAUUGCUAUGUGGGUUUUGGCCUCAAUAAAACAUAAAGGUGUUUUCCAGAGAAGUUAGAGGUUUUCAUCUGUCCUGCUUUGGGGUUAUUCUUUAGCCUUGAUGUUGCCGGGCUAGCAGGUCUCUUUAAGUCUGUGAAGCAGGUGUGAAAGCUGCACCCGGAGCUGUGAAAUAAAAAUAAACCACAAAUAUCAAAGGAUUGUGUGUUUUGUAUGUAUGUGUAUCAUUUGAUUGAGUGAUUUCCGUGUCGAUCAGACCGCUGUCCUCGUGUCCUACCCUGAAUUCGCUGUGUAUUAAGUCCAUUUAACAGUGCGUGACAUCACGACCCCAAAGCAUCCUGCUUUAAUCCAACAUAACCCAGGGAACACCGCUAGCCAAGAUUUAUCUGUCCAGCCCGAUUACUGUUAGGAACUUACAGUCAAUUGCUUUGAAUCAGAUAUUGAGCAGUUUGUGACACCAGGGAACGUAAAUAUAGGCAAUAUAAGCAUCAUAGAUGUGCAUGAGCCGUUUCCAAAAACAUGGUGGACAGUUCUUUUUGUACGGCAAACUCGAUAUGUAAUAAAGUCUAAUUAUUAUUGUUCA